CGCACAUUGCGCCCGCCAGCACUCUGGCGGGCAUGCCUGUCCGAGCGUCAUUUCAACCCUCAGGCCCCGCCUGGCGUUGGAGCCCUGCGCAGCGCAGGCUCCCAAAGACAGCGGCGGGCGCGCCCCGGAACCGAGCGCAGUAAUGCUAUCUCGUUCUGGUCCGGUGCGCGCUCCGGCCGUAAAACCCCCCAACUUUCUAAGUGGUUGACCUCGGAUCAGGUAGGAAUACCCGCUGAACUUAA
rnacentral:misc_RNA from 1 species